rnacentral:rRNA from 1 species
AUUGAACGCUGGCGGCAUGCCUUACACAUGCAGGUCGAACGGCAGCACGGGGCAACCUGGUGGCGAGUGGCGAACGGGUGAGUAAUGCAUCGGAACGUACCUUUCAGUGGGGGAUAACGUAGCGAAAGUUACGCUAAUACCGCAUAUUCUGUGAGCAGGAAAGCAGGGGAUCGCAAGACCUUGCGCUGAUUGAGCGGCCGAUGUCAGAUUAGCUAGUUGGUGAGGUAAAGGCUCACCAAGGCGACGAUCUGUAGCGGGUCUGAGAGGAUGAUCCGCCACACUGGAACUGAGACACGGUCCAGACUCCUACGGGAGGCAGCAGUGGGGAAUUUUGGACAAUGGGGGCAACCCUGAUCCAGCCAUGCCGCGUGAGUGAAGAAGGCCUUCGGGUUGUAAAGCUCUUUCGGUCGGGAAGAAAUCGCAUGGGUUAAUACCCUGUGCGGAUGACGGUACCGGCAUAAGAAGCACCGGCUAACUACGUGUCAGCAGCCGCGGUAAGAC